rnacentral:rRNA from 1 species
AAAUUCCGUAGGUGAACCUGCGGAAGGAUCAUUA